AUGGGCUCAGUAGUUACGUGUAAAAAGAUAAGGAGUGGGCCAGGAUUAGAAGAUCAAAAUAGUUUUUUAGGAACAUGCAGCUGCCUGUCUGGAACCAUUGAUAUCAGAUCAAUUCACAGUGAAUGUGAGUGCUACUCUCACCCUGUCUCUCUUAUGUACCUGCAGUCCACCAGUGUGUUACAGUAUGUGAUAUCUGAAGAAUUGGUAUGAUUUCCGAACUUACAUGAGCAGAGAAACUUGGAUGGAAGACAUAGAUUUUGGGAUGAGCAAAUGUCAUUUUCUUGAUCAAAACAGUCGACAGGAUCUAUAGUGGGCACAUUUUGAUGGAAUGAAGAUGUAAUGCAACGUAUGUAUAAGAUACACAAGUAAGGAAUUGAUACAGAGGACAUUAGUGUACCUUUGCAUAGCUUCCCAGGAUUAACAGGAUUCUGAUCUAUCAAACCAGGAUAGCAGCUACAUUCAUGGCUGCCUCCAGGACCAACCACACACUGAGCACAUGAUGAACACAAGCCUUUACAUGGAUCUGCACCUGGAGAGAUAUUUCCUACAAAACAGUGAGUGCAAUAGUGGUAAACACUGCUUAAAUGGAUGUACUUAAUAGUGUAUUACAGGGUAAUAACAUACGUUCUUCCACUGGUAGUUACUCUUGUAUAAGGUACUUAUUUCAUGUAAAGUGUGGCCCACAUUUCAAGCAACAAAGUUUUCUUACUCUUGCAGUCAGUACCCGGUACGGUUGGGUUUUCGUCGUAGAAUCCUGCCUUACAUUCACAUGAAUGUGAGGGUCCCUCUCUGACACAGCUGGCAUUUUUUGAGCAUGUGUAAUCACCUCGUUGGCAGACAUCUGCCUCUGUAAUAUAGUAAAAAUGAAGUCACUAAAGGCCACUAAAUCCACACGGUGAUAUGAUAACGUCCUUAAAUUUUGUUAGUCCUUGAAUAUUUAUUUAAAAAAAUAAUUUGAUUGAUUCACUAGCACAGAAAAGAUCAUUGUAUGUAGUCAUUGGAAUUCAAAAACCUUUGACUGAGGUGAAAUUCAGAUCUACUCCGAGUGCAGAUAAUUUCAGCGCAUUAAUGACACUGUUCUGCACGUCAGAGGUUGACAGUUUAACCUCCAGAGCAAUGACCAGAUCAAAGUCAACGAUCACACUUCCUCUGUGAACACCUGUCACAACCACCACCAUUUCUUUAGCCCUGGUAAGGUCCUGGUAUGCUUUUGGGAGAUUGUUUUCAACCUUUAAAGAAAUAUGUACGUUUAAAUCAUACAAGGUUGUAUUAUAUUACCUAAAUUAGAAAGCAAUUAUAAAAAAUGCUUAAUGAAUAUUUACCUGCAUGGUAAAAUUGGCCACAAAGUCUUUGUAAAGUUUGCUGGAUUGAUUUGAAUAAUCAGACAAAAACUCUCUGCCUGGAAUUCGAGUGGAAGAUUCAUAGACCUUUCCAGCUUUUGGAGAGAAACGAUAAAGAUGUAACAAAACAAAUGUGAUGUUUGCACAAAAUGUCCUAUUGCACUAAUUUGAUCUAUAAUUGUUUUAAAAGCAAAAGUAUGCUCUUAGUGAAUUCAAGGAGAUUACUUGAACAAGAGUUGACAUACCAGUGAUUAUGUCUCUUGAAAUGUUUUUCUUGAUGUAGCAGGAUAAGUACUCAAUCAUCAGAGUGUAUAUGGUUCCAGGAGUAAGGUCUGAGAAAACAGCUUUGGUGGCCGAGGUCUCAAUCUGAGUUGUGUUGGAAUUAGAUGCCAGCUUCACCUUGUACUGUAUCUGCUGGCCCAGGGUAAUACCAGUCCAACUCACACUGAUUAACUUACUGGUGACAUCCUCCAGCCUGAUGACAUUCAACAGAGCAUCUGACACUGAAAACAAAUGACAAUAAAAAUCUAAUAAUGCAGUGUAUGUACAGCAAUAUAUUCACACAUUUCAAUAGUCUUUGGUAUCCAUUUGUAAGUUAAAAAAAACUUUACAUCUUUACAAUCAUAUCAUCUUAUGAUGGUUUUUGAGAAUAAGUGAAAAUAAUCUUACUGCAUUCUGCAACAGUGGUUUUGAUUGUUGUCACCAAAGUAGUGUCUCUGGAUGUUAGUCCUAGUGAAGGGGUGGACGGUGUAGAUACUGCUACAACUGCUGAGGUAUCUGUACCUGUUAACACUGUAGUAGUACCACUUGUUGAUGACAUUAUUAGUCUUAGAGUGGUGACCUCACUUGUGGCUGUUGAUGGAGAAGUGGGAGUUGUGGGACCACUUGAAGUGACUGUUGAUGUAUUAUAAUUUGAAGAGGGUGUUGAUAUCAAGAGAGUAGUGUCAACACUUGAGUUCUCUGUCGAUGUAGUUGAGGGAGAGGUGGCGUCACUUGAAGUGACUGUAUAUUGCAAGGGAGAGGUGGUAUAACUUGAAGUGACAAUAGAUGUAGUUGAGGGAGUGGUGGUAUCAUUUGAAGUGACUGUUGAGGGAGUGGUGACCACAC
rnacentral:lncRNA from 1 species